ACUAUAAAAGUUGAAAAUCCGUAGACAGUCGGCGGCUUGCAAUGUACAUUGCAGACAUAAGUCCUACCGAGGGUGUUUUGGUAAUGACUAUUACAAAGCUCUUGGUCUAUGACUGAGAGCUUUUUGUUUUAUAUG
rfam:Firmicutes bacterium CAG:41 genomic scaffold, scf140